rnacentral:rRNA from 1 species
UACGGGGGGAGCAAGCGUUGUUCGGAUUUACUGGGCGUAAAGGGCGCGUAGGCGGUCAGUGCAAGUCAGUUGUGAAAUCUCCGGGCUUAACUCGGAAAGGUCAACUGAUACUGCUCGACUAGAGUGCGGAAGGGGCAACUGGGAAUUCUUGGUGGUAGCGGUGAAAUGCGUAGAUAAUCAAGAGGAACACCUGCGGCGAAGGCGGGA